ACACGCUGGCGGCACGCCUCAUACAUGCAAGUCGAGCGCGAAACCACCUUCGGGUGAUGUAGGGCGGCGAACGGGUGAGUAACAGGUGGGUAAUCUGCCCUUUGGCGGGGGACAACAGCUGGAAACGGCUGCUAAUACCGCAUGUGAUUGUGGACUUAUGGUCUGCAAGGAAAGGCGCCUCAAAGCGCCACCAAAGGAUGAGCCCGCCCCCAUUAGCUAGUUGGUGAGAUAACAGCUCACCAAGGCAUCGAUGGGUAGCCGAGCUGAGAGGUUGAUCGGCCACACUGGAACUGAGACACGGUCCAGACACCUACGGGUGGCAGCAGUAGGGAAUAUUGCGCAAUGGGCGAAAGCCUGACGCAGCGACGCCGCGUGGAUGAUGAAGGCCGGAAGGUUGUAAAAUCCUUUUGUCAACGAAGAAUAAGCGUGAGAGGGAAUGCCCGCGUGAUGACGUUAGUUGGCGAAUAAGCCCCGGCUAAUUACGUG
rnacentral:rRNA from 1 species